rnacentral:lncRNA from 1 species
UCCCUCCCCUUUUUCUGAUUCUCACUGUUGGCAAGCUCAGUCAAACAGCCCUUUGCCCAAACACUGUAGAGAAUCACUGGACGCAGAACUGUGAUUCCACGGUGCGGACAUUAAAUUUCAGCAAAUAUCUCCGGAAGCCAAAUUCAAACACUUUUGAGAAAACCCUAUUUUCACAAAAUAAAAUCUCUCAUUGUACUGUCAUCACCGAUGAUUUUCUGCCAGCUGUGUCUAAGCGACCCACUAGCAUUGCUGAUAUCACGGUACAGUCGGUGUACGGUGUACCAGAGCUAGAUCUCUACUCUAGUUGUAGAUGAGAUCCGGAAGGAUCUCAUAGGUCCCUCGAUGAUUGCAGCUACUCGUAAGCUGCAGCUGCAUACGCAUAGCCGGCGAUGAGCGCGUUUUAUUAGUAGAAAUGAGUUUGGAGUAUCACGUAGG